AUGCUAAGUGGAGUGAAUUCAUUGAGUCCUUAUGUUAUCAAGUACAUCAAAGGUAAGGAAAAUGUUGUGGCAGAUGCUCUUUCCUGCAUAUGCAUGCUUGUCACUAAACUUGAAUUGAGUGUCAUUGGCUUUGAGCACAUAAAAGACUUGUAUGCGCAUGAUCCUACUUUUGCUAUUCCUUAUGCCAAGUGUUUGACGCAUACAUCUUGGGAACGCUAUCACAUCAAGGAUGAUUACCUUACGAGAGCUAACAAACUUUGCAUUCCCAAGUCUUCUCUUCGUUUGCUCCUUUUGCAAGAGGCUCAUGGAGGCGGACUAAUGGGACACUUUGGACACAACAAGACAUUCGCUACGCUCUUCAAGAACUAUUUUUGGCCCAAGCUGUUCUGCGACGUCUCACGCUUCACCAACCGAUGCUCUACAUGUCGCAAAGCUAAAGUCAAAAGCUCAAUCCCAUGGUCUUUACAUGCCCCUUCCUAUUCCUUAUCAACCUUGGGAAGACAUUAG
rnacentral:rRNA from 1 species